ensembl:lncRNA
CUUUUUUAUUAAAAUUAAGCACAUUUCUAGAUUAAAAGCAUAUUUUAAAUGUAGUGUUCUUCUUUCACAGGCCAGAGAAACUUUACUGUGUGUUGUGAGACUGUUAUCAGUGCUCAUGUCGGCAGGAACUGCAUCUAAACCCUGCUGUAAGACUUCAAUAUGGUCAGGUUGGGGAGCUCUCUGAUGGAGGAGAGAGUGGAGAAUCUUGGCUUCUGGAUUUAUCUGGUGAGCGAAGCGUGAGGCACUUCUCUCCCUCUUCCCUCCAUUUCUCCUCUAUCUCUGGCACCAAACUUAUCACAAUAAUGUUGAGUAAGAUCGUUUUUGGCUUGGGCCUGACAAACUGAUAUAAAUUUCAAUCUGACUCUGACUGAAGUUUUCAUUUUGCCAAGAGUGCAAAAAGAGUUAAGGGUAGAUACCGUAUACACAAUUAUGU